CUUGCUGGGGGAUUAGUGGCGAACGGGUGAGUAACACGUGAGUAACCUGCCCUUGACUCUGGGAUAAGCCUGGGAAACUGGGUCUAAUACCGGAUACGACCAUUCCACGCAUGUGGUGGUGGUGGAAAGCUUUUGUGGUUUUGGAUGGACUCGCGGCCUAUCAGCUUGUUGGUGGGGUAAUGGCCUACCAAGGCGACGACGGGUAGCCGGCCUGAGAGGGUGACCGGCCACACUGGGACUGAGACACGGCCCAGACUCCUACGGGAGGCAGCAGUGGGGAAUAUUGCACAAUGGGCGCAAGCCUGAUGCAGCGACGCCGCGUGAGGGAUGACGGCCUUCGGGUUGUAAACCUCUUUCAGUAGGGAAGAAGCGAAAGUGACGGUACCUGCAGAAGAAGCGCCGGCUAACUACGUGCCAGCAGCCGCGGUAAUACGUAGGGCGCAAGCGUUAUCCGGAAUUAUUGGGCGUAAAGAGCUCGUAGGCGGUUUGUCGCGUCUGCUGUGAAAGACCGGGGCUCAACUCCGGUUCUGCAGUGGGUACGGGCAGACUAGAGUGCAGUAGGGGAGACUGGAAUUCCUGGUGUAGCGGUGAAAUGCGCAGAUAUCAGGAGGAACACCGAUGGCGAAGGCAGGUCUCUGGGCUGUAACUGACGCUGAGGAGCGAAAGCAUGGGGAGCGAACAGGAUUAGAUACCCUGGUAGUCCAUGCCGUAAACGUUGGGCACUAGGUGUGGGGGACAUUCCACGUUUUCCGCGCCGUAGCUAACGCAUUAAGUGCCCCGCCUGGGGAGUACGGCCGCAAGGCUAAAACUCAAAGGAAUUGACGGGGGCCCGCACAAGCGGCGGAGCAUGCGGAUUAAUUCGAUGCAACGCGAAGAACCUUACCAAGGCUUGACAUGAACCGGUAAUACCUGGAAACAGGUGCCCCGCUUGCGGUCGGUUUACAGGUGGUGCAUGGUUGUCGUCAGCUCGUGUCGUGAGAUGUUGGGUUAAGUCCCGCAACGAGCGCAACCCUCGUUCUAUGUUGCCAGCGGUUCGGCCGGGGACUCAUAGGAGACUGCNGGGGUCAACUCGGAAGGAAGGUGGGGGACGACGUCAAAUCAUCAUGGCCCC
rnacentral:rRNA from 1 species